rnacentral:rRNA from 1 species
UAUGCAGUCGAGCGGAGUGAUGGUGCUUGCACUAUCACUUAGCGGCGGACGGGUGAGUAAUGCUUAGGAAUCUGCCUAUUAGUGGGGGACAACAUUUCGAAAGGAAUGCUAAUACCGCAUACGUCCUACGGGAGAAAGCAGGGGAUCUUCGGACCUUGCGCUAAUAGAUGAGCCUAAGUCGGAUUAGCUAGUUGGUGGGGUAAAGGCCUACCAAGGCGACGAUCUGUAGCGGGUCUGAGAGGAUGAUCCGCCACACUGGGACUGAGACACGGCCCAGACUCCUACGGGAGGCAGCAGUGGGGAAUAUUGGACAAUGGGCGCAAGCCUGAUCCAGCCAUGCCGCGUGUGUGAAGAAGGCCUUAUGGUUGUAAAGCACUUUAAGCGAGGAGGAGGCUACUGAAGUUAAUACCUUCAGAUAGUGGACGUUACUCGCAGAAUAAGCACCGGCUAACUCUGUGCCAGCAGCCGCGGUAAUACAGAGGGUGCAAGCGUUAAUCGGAUUUACUGGGCGUAAAGCGCGCGUAGGCGGCUAAUUAAGUCAAAUGUGAAAUCCCCGAGCUUAACUUGGGAAUUGCAUUCGAUACUGGUUAGCUAGAGUGUGGGAGAGGAUGGUAGAAUUCCAGGUGUAGCGGUGAAAUGCGUAGAGAUCUGGAGGAAUACCGAUGGCGAAGGCAGCCAUCUGGCCUAACACUGACGCUGAGGUGCGAAAGCAUGGGGAGCAAACAGGAUUAGAUACCCUGGUAGUCCAUGCCGUAAACGAUGUCUACUAGCCGUUGGGGCCUUUGAGGCUUUAGUGGCGCAGCUACGCGAUAAGUAGACGCCGGGGAGUACGGUCGCAAGACUAAAACUCAAAUGAAUUGACGGGGGCCCGCACAAGCGGUGGAGCAUGUGGUUUAAUUCGAUGCAACGCAUUACCGGCCUGACAUAGAAUUCCAGGUUGGUGCCUUCGGGACUUACAUCGGCUGCAUGGUGUCGUCAGCUGAGAGGAGUCCAAUUUGCAGUAUGUGGUUAAGGCAUCGGAGCCAUG